GGCAGGCAAGCGCCGGAAUUUCCCCGAGUUGCCGGUAGGCAGCAGCAUCCUUCGCGAUGUGGAUCAGGGGCCCGGGGGCCUGCCACAAU
rnacentral:sRNA from 12 species